UGAUGACGAGACGCUAAGGCGUUGAAGCAGUGUAUGUCAGACUUCCAAGAAAAGCUCGCAAUGUCACAAAUAAGAAAUGCCUGUACCAUAACCGACACAGGUGGGUAGGUAGAGUAUACUAAGGGGCGCGAGAUAACUCUCUCUAAGGAACUCGGCAAAAUGACUCCGUAACUUCGGGAGAAGGAGUGCCUUAUUUAUAAGGUUGCAAUAACAAGAUCCAAGCAACUGUUUAUCAAAAACACAGGUCUCCGCUAAGUCGUAAGACGAUGUAUGGGGGCUGACGCCUGCCCAGUGCCAGAAGGUUAAAGAAGUUGGUUAGUGUAUGCGAAGCUGAUGACUGAAGCCCUGGUGAACGGCGGCCGUAACGAUAACGGUCCUAAGGUAGCGAAAUUCCUUGUCGGGUAAGUUCCGACCCGCACGAAAGGCGUAAUGAUUUGGAUACUGUCUCGGAGAGAGGCUCGGUGAAAUAGACUUGUCUGUGAAGAUGCGCACUACCUGCACCAGGACAGAAAGACCCUAUGAAGCUUUACUGUAACUUGAAAUUGGAAUUGGACUUUGCUUGCGCAGUAUAGGUGGGAAGCGUUGAAAAUAUUCUUGCGGGAGUAUUGGAGCUAUCAGUGAGAUACCACUCUUGUAAUGUUAGAUUUCUAACUUUGAACCAUAAUCUGGUCAAAGAACAGUUUCAGGUGGGCAGUUUGACUGGGGCGGUCGCCUCCCAAAUGGUAACGGAGGCGUACAAAGGUUUCCUCUGAACGGAUAGAAAUCGUAUCUAGAGUGUAAAGGCAUAAGGAAGCUUGACUGUGAGACCUACAAGUCGAGCAGGGACGAAAGUCGGUCUUAGUGAUCUGACGGUACUGAGUGGAAAGGCCGUCACUCAACGGAUAAAAGUUACUCUAGGAUAACAGGCUGAUCUCCCCCAAGAGUUCACAUCGACGGGGAGGUUUGGCACCUCGAUGUCGGCUCAUCGCAUCCUGGGGCGGUAGUACGUCCCAAGGGUUGGGCUGUUCGCCCAUGAAAGCGGUACGCGAGCUGGGUUCAGAACGUCGUGAGACAGUUCGGUCCAUAUCCGGUGUAGGCGCUAGAAUAUUGAGAGGAGCCUUCUUUAGUACGAGAGGACCGAGAAGGACACACCGCUGGUGUACCAGUUAUCGUGCCAACGGUAAACGCUGGGUAGCUAUGUGUGGAGUGGAUAACCGCUGAAAGCAUCUAAGUGGGAAGCCCACCUCGAGAUGAGUAUUC
rnacentral:rRNA from 1 species